UUUGUGAACGUUUAUCAGGAUGGUCUCGACUUGAAAUUGAUAAUCUUAUCAAGCAACAAGAUGUACCUGUUUCUGAACUUACUGCAAGCCUUCAACAUUGACAAGACAAGAUCAAGGGAGAGGAGGAUGGCUCUGGCAGGCCAUUGCAUCCGCCACCCGGAGCUAGCAGCCCACAACACCAUCCUGUGGGAGCCAACUCUUGGAACUGCCAGGAGGGGGCGGACACAGGGGAGCUGAGGACUCUAAUGCUGAAUAGGGAAGAGUGGAGGGCGGCGACCAAGUCCCGAGAUGGUGUAGGUUAGGCUGCACCCUGGCAUCGCACUGCAACUGAAACCAAAAAAAAAUUGGACAAUGUUGUGAAUCAGCCAGUAUCACCAUUCCGUGGAUUGCAAAAGGUACUAAAGCUGUAGAAAUCACAGUUACCAAUGAAAUGGCUUUGGGAAUAUACAAAUAUGCAAUGAUUUUGCGCGAAGUGACUGCAUUGUGGCCACGAUUGUUCCCUGCAAGCAAGAUACCUAGUAGCAGACAUAUUUGGGAUAUGUUUGUGAAGAAGUUAAAGACAAUAGAACGGAUGAGCAGUAACCGAAAAGGUCGGCUCAGAGAAUGGUUGAAGCUUCCAUUUGUUACGGUACCAGAUCCACAGCAGGUACCAUGCUCUUCGGAUGAUAGCGCAAGUGAGGAAAGUGAAGAUGGCGAGUGGAGGAGUCCUGUUGAUAAAGAGAACCUUAGAGAAGGCAAAAAGACAAACAAAGACAAGGAAGUUCGGAAGAUGGACAACAUAAGAAAAUCCGCAUCAAAGGCUUCUGAGUACAAACUUUGUGAGAUGGUAGAAGGCAUACCUCUCCUCAUUGAUAUUGUGAAGAAGGCACUCUUAAUCAAUCAAGUGUAACCAUGGAUAACAACUAACAAGAGGCGAUUAAAGACCAAAUCAGGUUUUACAAGCCAGUAAACUUCAGCAGCAAAAUAGAUUUAGAACUUUAUAACACGUCACAAGAUAAGUAACAAUUAAAUACGCAAAACCAACCUUGCCCAGGUACUUCAGUAAUACCGAAUAUACAAACUUUCUACACUGGCUAACAAUGGACAAGGAGAGCCAAGUACUAGCUCAGACAACAAUGAAAUGCAAGACAAGGAGAAAGACUUUCAGAGCUUAAAUUAAAAUACCUUGUCAAAGGGGCAUCACCAUCCAAAAGAAAGAAAAUGAAUCCUUUUCCUGGUGACACUUUACUUGGAAAACAUAACAGCCUCAAGUUCAAAACAGCAGGAAGUAUCCAGCAUCGUUAUAGAAAGGAGUUGUGCUGAGGAGAAGCACAAAUGCUGACUUUGAGAAAUAUCUUGAAGAUGUUGAUGAGCCGUAUGUCGGAAAAAUGGACUUCUUAACAGUGCAGUUUGAUGCCCCAUUGGAGAAGGACUGGAUCGAUAACUGCCUAAAAUUUGAUUUCUAGUUGGCUUUGGAAGACUGCUUUGAAGAACCAUGGAUUGAGGAACAACUUUGACAGAUCAAGCGGAUCUCAUCUUCAGUAAUUCCGGUACAAUCAUGGGCCAUUCUUCAGGUCUGAUAAGCAGCUGGAGCAGAGACUACAAGCUUCUCAGAGGUAAAGUUCAAAGGUCAGACAGAAUAACAAACAUCAGAUUGAAAAUAGGCUGUGUAUGAAAUACGCUAAAAGCUGUUGUUAGCAUCAGUGGCGCACCCAA
rnacentral:lncRNA from 1 species